UUGUGGGCACGAUCUACGGGAGGCAGCAGUGGGGAAUAUUGCACAAUGGGCGGAAGCCUGAUGCAGCAACGCCGCGUGCGGGAUGACGGCCUUCGGGUUGUAAACCGCUUUCGCCUGUGACGAAGCGUGAGUGACGGUAAUGGGUAAAGAAGCACCGGCUAACUACGUGCCAGCAGCCGCGGUGAUACGUAGGGUGCGAGCGUUGUCCGGAUUUAUUGGGCGUAAAGGGCUCGUAGGUGGUUGAUCGCGUCGGAAGUGUAAUCUUGGGGCUUAACCCUGAGCGUGCUUUCGAUACGGGUUGACUUGAGGAAGGUAGGGGAGAAUGGAAUUCCUGGUGGAGCGGUGGAAUGCGCAGAUAUCAGGAGGAACACCAGUGGCGAAGGCGGUUCUCUGGGCCUUUCCUGACGCUGAGGAGCGAAAGCGUGGGGAGCGAACAGGCUUAGAUACCCUGGUAGUCCACGCUGUAAACGGUGGGUACUAGGUGUGGGGUCCAUUCCACGGGUUCCGUGCCGUAGCUAACGCUUUAAGUACCCCGCCUGGGGAGUACGGCCGCAAGGCUAAAACUCAAAGGAAUUGACGGGGCCCCGCACAAGCGGCGGAGCAUGCGGAUUAAUUCGAUGCAACGCGUAGAACCUUACCUGGGUUUGACAUGGAUCGGGAGCGCUCAGAGAUGGGUGUGCCUCUUUUGGGGUCGGUUCACAGGUGGUGCAUGGCUGUCGUCAGCUCGUGUCGUGAGAUGUUGGGUUAAGUCCCGCAACGAGCGCAACCCUUGUUCACUGUUGCCAGCACGUUAUGGUGGGGACUCAGUGGAGACCGCCGGGGUCAACUCGGAGGAAGGUGGGGAUGACGUCAAGUCAUCAUGCCCCUUAUGUCCAGGGCUUCACGCAUGCUACAAUGGCUGGUACAGAGAGUGGCGAGCCUGUGAGGGUGAGCGAAUCUCGGAAAGCCGGUCUCAGUUCGGAUUGGGGUCUGCAACUCGACCUCAUGAAGUCGGAGUCGCUAGUAAUCGCAGAUCAGCAACGCUGCGGUGAAUACGUUCCCGGGCCUUGUACACACCGCCAUCACAGUAUG
rnacentral:rRNA from 1 species